rnacentral:rRNA from 1 species
CCUACGGUGGGCAGCAGUGGGGAAUAUUGCACAAUGGGGGAAACCCUGAUGCAGCGACGCCGCGUGAGUGAAGAAGUAAUUCGUUAUGUAAAGCUCUAUCUGCAGGGAAGAAAAUGACGGUACCUGUGUAAGAUGCCCCGUCUAACUUCGUGCCAGCAGUCGCGGUAAGACGGAGGGGGCAAGCGUUAUCCGGAGUUACUGGGGGUAAAGGGAGCGUAGACGGCAGUGCAAGUCUGGAGUGAAAGGCGGGGGCUCAACCCCCGGACUGCUGGGGAAACUGUACGGCUGGAGUGCAGGAGAGGUAAGUGGAAUUCCUAGUGUAGCGGUGAAAUGCGUAGAUAUUAGGAGGAACACCAGUGGCGAAGGCGGCUUACUGGACUGUAACUGACGCUGAGGCUCGAAAGCGUGGGGAGCAAACAGGAUUAGAUACCCUUGUAGUC